AGUGAACGCUGGCGGUAGGCCUAACACAUGCAAGUCGAACGGCAGCACAGUAAGAGCUUGCUCUUACGGGUGGCGAGUGGCGGACGGGUGAGGAAUACAUCGGAAUCUACUUUUUCGUGGGGGAUAACGUAGGGAAACUUACGCUAAUACCGCAUACGACCUACGGGUGAAAGCAGGGGAUCUUCGGACCUUGCGCGAUUGAAUGAGCCGAUGUCGGAUUAGCUAGUUGGCGGGGUAAAGGCCCACCAAGGCGACGAUCCGUAGCUGGUCUGAGAGGAUGAUCAGCCACACUGGAACUGAGACACGGUCCAGACUCCUACGGGAGGCAGCAGUGGGGAAUAGUGGACAAUGGGCGCAAGCCUGAUCCAGCCAUACCGCGUGGGUGAAGAAGGCCUUCGGGUUGUAAAGCCCUUUUGUUGGGAAAGAAAAGCAGCAGGUUAAUACCCCGCUGUUCUGACGGUAACCAAAGAAUAAGCACCGGCUAACUUCG
rnacentral:rRNA from 1 species